rnacentral:rRNA from 1 species
UACGGAGGGUGCAAGCGUUAUCCGGAUUCACUGGGUUUAAAGGGUGCGUAGGCGGGUUGGUAAGUCAGUGGUGAAAUCUCCGGGCUUAACCUGGAAACUGCCAUUGAUACUAUCAAUCUUGAAUACCUUGGAGGUGAGCGGAAUAUGUCAUGUAGCGGUGAAAUGCUUAGAUAUGACAUAGAACACCAAUUGCGAAGGCAGCUCACUACACGGUCAUUGACACUGAGGCACGAAAGCGUGGGGAUCAAACAGG